AUAAAAUUGCACGCGAGUCUGAGCGGAUCAGGACGACCCAAAAGAAAUAUGCGUGUGAAAAAAUGAUACGAAUUCCCCAAUCUAGUUGUAUAUUGUGUAUAAUACCCAAACUGCAGUCAUAGCUGUAUAACAUAUAAUAGUACCUGUUUACCUAGUCAAAUUCUAUUAAAAUAUACUUACAUAAACGCGCCUAGACGUGAUUUCAAUAACAUCAAAACGAAUAAUGAAUAAUGUUUAAGGUUAUUUUUUCCUAAAUAUUUGUAUAAUAAUAGUAUAUCUACUUUUUGCUUUUAACGUAAAAAACACGAAAAAAAAAACAAACAAACAAACAAACACCUCAAGUUCAGUGAUGUAAUCUUUUUGACAAUGACUGCCGGGAUUAAAACGCACUCGGAGAGGGUGAUAUUCGAUAUAUAAAAUACUUUGUAAUCUCGUCGUUUCUCAACAUUGCAUUCUUUGUUUUACAUUUAAUUUUUAA